GCCAAGAGAAUCGGGAUAACACCUGGAAACAGAUGCUAAUACCGGAUAAUAACAGAUGAUGCCUAUCAACUGUUUAAAAGGAUGGUUCUGCUAUCACUCUUGGAUGGACCUGCGGUGCAUUAGCUAGUUGGUAGGGUAACGGCCUACCAAGGCGAUGAUGCAUAGCCGAGUUGAGAGACUGAUCGGCCACAUUGGGACUGAGACACGGCCCAAACUCCUACGGGACAGCAGAC
rnacentral:rRNA from 1 species